UAGGGAAUCUUCGGCAAUGGACGAAAGUCUGACCGAGCAACUCCGCGUGAGUGAAGAAGGUUUUCGGAUCGUAAAACUCUGUUGUUAGAGAAGAACAAGGACGUUAGUAACUGAACGUCCCCUGACGGUAUCUAACCAGAAAGCCACGGCUAACUACGUGCCAGCAGCCGCGGUAAUACGUAGGUGGCAAGCGUUGUCCGGAUUUAUUGGGCGUAAAGCGAGCGCAGGCGGUUUCUUAAGUCUGAUGUGAAAGCCCCCGGCUCAACCGGGGAGGGUCAUUGGAAACUGGGAGACUUGAAUGCAGAAGAGGAGAGUGGAAUUCCAUGUGUAGCGGUGAAAUGCGUAGAUAUAUGGAGGAACACCAGUGGCGAAGGCGGCUCUCUGGUCUGUAACUGACGCUGAGGCUCGAAAGCGUGGGGAGCAAACAGG
rnacentral:rRNA from 1 species